UUUGACUUUCCAUCUUUUAGUUUCAUCCAGCCGUCCUCUAACCCCCAAACAUCUGAACUUUCUCUUCUCUCUGUUAGCUUAGCCGCACAACCAUCGCUCUCAUCUCUCUGAGCAGGGUAUUUUGCAUAAGAAGAACUUUUAUCAUUUCACACUGAUUUCUGCAGCAACCAUCGCUCUCUUAUCUUCUACAAUCGCUCCAAAAGUUCAUCUACUAGUCCUAUGUCAAACGUAAGUUCAACUCCUACACCAACCUCUGCACAAACUGUGGAUAUUUCAUCAAAUGCUAUUUCCUCACUUCCACCACAGAAUAACUUAAAAAGAAAAGCUGCAGCUCGGUCUAAUGUGUGGGAACAUUUUGAUAAGAUAAAGAAGGAAGAAUGUACAAAUGAUGAUGAACCUAGGUGCAUAUGUAAGUACUGUAAGCAAGAUUAUGGAUGUGACUCCCGUAA